rnacentral:rRNA from 1 species
UACGUAGGGGGCGAGCGUUGUCCGGAAUCAUUGGGCGUAAAGGGCGUGUAGGCGGUUUGUUAAGUCAUGUGUGAAAUCCCUCGGCUCAACCGGGGAACGACGCAUGAAACUGGCAAGCUAGAGUACGGAAGAGGCGAGUGGAAUUCCCGGUGUAGCGGUGAAAUGCGCAGAUAUCGGGAGGAACACCAAUUGCGAAGGCAGCUCGCUGGGACGUCACUGACGCUGAGACGCGAAAGCGUGGGGAGCAAACAGG